rnacentral:rRNA from 1 species
UGGGGAAUUUUGGACAAUGGGCGCAAGCCUGAUCCAGCAAUGCCGCGUGCAGGAUGAAGGCCUUCGGGUUGUAAACUGCUUUUGUACGGAACGAAAAACUCCUUUCUAAUACAGGGGGGUCAUGACGGUACCGUAAGAAUAAGCACCGGCUAACUACGUGCCAGCAGCCGCGGUAAUACGUAGGGUGCGAGCGUUAAUCGGAAUUACUGGGCGUAAGGCGUGCGCAGGCGGUUAUAUAAGUCAGAUGUGAAAUCCCCGGGCUCAACCUGGGACCUGCAUUUGAGACUGUAUAGCUAGAGUACGGUAGAGGGGGAUGGAAUUCCGCGUGUAGCAGUGAAAUGCGUAGAUAUGCGGAGGAACACCGAUGGCGAAGGCAAUCCCCUGGACCUGUACUGACGCUCAUGCACGAAAGCGUGGGGAGCAAACA